UACGUAGGUGGCAAGCGUUGUCCGGAAUUAUUGGGCGUAAAGCGCGCGCAGGCGGUCCUUUAAGUCUGAUGUGAAAGCCCACGGCUCAACCGUGGAGGGUCAUUGGAAACUGGGGGACUUGAGUGCAGAAGAGGAAAGCGGAAUUCCACGUGUAGCGGUGAAAUGCGUAGAGAUGUGGAGGAACACCAGUGGCGAAGGCGGCUUUCUGGUCUGUAACUGACGCUGAGGCGCGAAAGUGUUGGGAGCAAACAGG
rnacentral:rRNA from 1 species